GCUCAGUUUUUGGCAUAGCGUAACGUGAAUUGUGGCGUGGGUGGGUCAUCGCGUAAAACUGGGUUAAUUAUAUUGGCCCGAGUGAGAGAAUAAUUAGCCAACUUAACUUCCGAUCGUGUAACUGGAUUAGAAGGCUUUAAUGUUAUUGUGAUUUAGGUUUUAACCCCAAAUAAUCAAAUGUUCAACCGAAAAGUUAUAGAACAAUUUGUCAAUCGAUGCAUUCAACCGAAGGACUUCUGCUUCUUAUGCUGAACGCAAGCAUUACUCAACCACUAUAAGAAUAUUCAAGAUGUUCCAAAUGAAUCGGAGGGGUACGGAUGUCCAAUUGAAUGGGUUUUACACGAAACGGGACUGAGAGGACGAACGAGUCGAAACUAGAAGCAGUAUGAAGAAUAGUUACAAGGUUUUUAAAUUUAGUUGC